AGAGUUUGAUCCUGGCUCAGGAUGAACGCUGGCGGUAUGCCUAACACAUGCAAGUCGAACGGUGUCUUCGGACACAGUGGCGGACGGGUGAGUAACGCGUGAGAAUCUGCCCCUAGGUUGGGGACAACAGUUGGAAACGACUGCUAAUACCCGAUGUGCCGUAAGGUAAAAGAUUUAUUGCCUGGAGAGGAGCUCGCGUCUGAUUAGCUAGUUGGUGGGGUAAAAGCCUACCAAGGCAGCGAUCAGUAGCUGGUCUGAGAGGAUGAGCAGCCACACUGGGACUGAGACACGGCCCAGACUCCUACGGGAGGCAGCAGUGGGGAAUUUUCCGCAAUGGGCGAAAGCCUGACGGAGCAAUACCGCGUGAGGGAGGAAGGCCUUUGGGUUGUAAACCUCUUUUCUCAGGGAAGAAGAUCUGACGGUACCUGAGGAAUAAGCAUCGGCUAACUCCGUGCCAGCAGCCGCGGUAAUACGGAGGAUGCAAGCGUUAUCCGGAAUCAUUGGGCGUAAAGCGUCCGCAGGUGGUUUUUCAAGUCUGCUGUUAAAGACUGGAGCUCAACUCCGGAAAGGCAGUGGAAACUGAGAAACUAGAGUUCGGUAGGGGUAGCGGGAAUUCCCAGUGUAGCGGUGAAAUGCGUAGAUAUUGGGAAGAACAUCGGUGGCGAAGGCGCGCUACUGGACCGAAACUGACACUCAGGGACGAAAGCUAGGGGAGCGAAAGGGAUUAGAUACCCCUGUAGUCCUAGCUGUAAACGAUGGAAACUAGGUGUGGCUUGUAUCGACCCGAGCCGUGCCGUAGCUAACGCGUUAAGUUUCCCGCCUGGGGAGUACGCACGCAAGUGUGAAACUCAAAGGAAUUGACGGGGGCCCGCACAAGCGGUGGAGUAUGUGGUUUAAUUCGAUGCAACGCGAAGAACCUUACCAGGGCUUGACAUGUCGCGAAUCUCCUUGAAAGGGGAGAGUGCCUUCGGGAGCGCGAACACAGGUGGUGCAUGGCUGUCGUCAGCUCCUGUCGUGAGAUGUUGGGGGGUAGAUGGCCAGUAUAGAGGCAGACCCCAGUGAUGUUCACAGGAUAACAGAGUCCUGCGAUCCACUUGUGAUUUAAGUUGGGAUGUAGAGGUCUGAUCAGUGGUACUAGAGUUGAUUAUGAUUUUGUUCUUUAGUUUAGAAUUUGUAGGUGGAAACCCAUUGCGCGCGUUGGUUUUAAUAGUAUCAGUAUAAUUACGGAGUUAUAUUGUAAUU
rnacentral:rRNA from 1 species